CGGACACACUAAACUUUUAUUUUAUUUGCUUUAUAAAUGAAAAUUAGCCUUUAGGUGAAGAGACCUAAAUAAGGUAGAAAGACAAGAAGACCCUAUUGAGCUUUAUUUUAAAAUAAAAAGAGAAAUUUUGUUGGGGCGACCAGGGAAUAAAAAAACCUUCCCUAAUUUAGACGGACACUCCAAUUAACUAAUCCUAAAGGAACGCAGAACAAGCUACCAUAGGGAUAACAGGCUAAUUUUUUCAGCGAGCUCAUAUCAAUGAAAAAGAUUGGCACCUCGAUGUUGGCUUGAAGAAUCUAUUAGGUGCAGCAGCCU
rnacentral:rRNA from 1 species